rnacentral:rRNA from 1 species
UGCCAGCCGCCGCGGUAAUACGGAGGGGGUUAGCGUUGUUCGGAAUUACUGGGCGUAAAGCGCGCGUAGGCGGAUUGGAAAGUUAGAGGUGAAAUCCCAGGGCUCAACCGAGGAACUGCAGCUGAAACUGCACCGCUGGAGUACGGGAGGGGAGAACGGAAUUCCUGGUGGAGCGGUGAAAUGCGUAGAUAUCAGGAGGAACGCCGGAGGCGAAAGCGGUUCUCUGGCCCGUAACUGACGCUGAGGUGCGAAAGCUAGGGGAGCAAACAGGAUUAGAUA